UACGUAGGGUGCAAGCGUUGUCCGGAAUUAUUGGGCGUAAAGAGCUCGUAGGCGGUUUGUCGCGUCUGCUGUGAAAACGCGAGGCUCAACCUCGCGCCUGCAGUGGGUACGGGCAGACUAGAGUGCGGUAGGGGAGAUUGGAAUUCCUGGUGUAGCGGUGGAAUGCGCAGAUAUCAGGAGGAACACCGGUGGCGAAGGCGGUUCUCUGGGCCUUACCUGACGCUGAGGAGCGAAAGCGUGGGGAGCGAACAGG
rnacentral:rRNA from 1 species